rnacentral:sRNA from 1 species
AACUUGAUAGCCCAGAAGAGUUAGGGAAAAAGCGUAUCUGCAGGAUUAUCACGAAAGAUUUCCCCCAGUAUUUUGCAGUGGUUUCCCGGAUUAAGCAGGAAAGCAACCAGAUUGGUCCUGAAGGUGGAAUUCUGAGCAGCACCACAGUGCCCCUUGUUCAAGCAUCUUUCCCAGAGGGUGCCCUAACUAAAAGAAUUCGAGUGGGCCUCCAGGCCCAGCCUGUUCCAGAUGAAAUUGUGAAAAAGAUCCUUGGAAACAAAGCAACAUUUAGCCCAAUUGUCACUGUGGAACCAAGAAGAAGGAAAUUCCAUAAACCAAUCACAAUGACCAUUCCGGUGCCCCCGCCCUCAGGAGAAGGUGUAUCCAAUGGAUACAAAGGGGACACUACACCCAAUCUGCGUCUUCUCUGUAGCAUUACAGGUUUGGUUAAGUCACUGCUGUACUUCCUAUUGAUUGAGUCACAAAGAUUCUGUACAAAGACAUAAAACCUUUGAAAUAUCCAUGCCAACAUUAUAAGAGAAAAUAAAAGAACAAAACAUU